GCAGCAGCUUCAUAACCACAGUUACACACACACACACACCAACACGUCUUCCACCAAAGAAAAUGCCAUUUCUGCAGACGAUUGUCUCGGUCUCGCUGGACGACCAGAAACGCGCCAACCUUUCGACAGCGUACCGCAUGAUCUGCCGCGAGGAACUCGGCAAGCCCGAGGACUUCGUGAUGACUGCGUUCAGUGAUAACACCCCGAUGUCUUUCCAAGGUUCCACAGCCCCUGCUGCUUACGUACGCGUCGAGUGCUGGGGCGAAUACGCGCCCUCGAAGCCCAAGAUGAUGACGCCGAGGAUCGCCGCGGCCAUUACGAAGGAGUGCGGCAUCCCGGCUGAGCGUAUCUACGUGUUCUACUACAGCACGAAGCACUGCGGCUGGAACGGCGCUAACUUUUGAGCGUUGACCUCGUGCCGUGGGCCGGCUGCCCGAGAAGGGGCGACGCCAAGCUUGCCUAUGUAUUUCUUUUUCCAACCCAGAGUGUAGC
rnacentral:misc_RNA from 1 species